rnacentral:misc_RNA from 1 species
AACCAUAGAAACCUGCGGAGUACCUGCGGAAGGAUCAUUACUGAGUGAGGGCCCUCUGGGUCCAACCUCCCACCCGUGUUUAACGAACCUUGUUGCUUCGGCGGGCCCGCCUCACGGCCGCCGGGGGGCAUCCGCCCCCGGGCCCGCGCCCGCCGAAGACACCUGUGAACUCUGUCUGAAGUUGCAGUCUGAGAAACUAUUUAAAUUAGUUAAAACUUUCAACAACGGAUCUCAGAUCGG